UACGUAGGGGGCAAGCGUUGUCCGGAUUUACUGGGCGUAAAGCGCGUGUAGGCGGCCACGCAGGUCCGUUGUGAAAACUGGAGGCUCAACUUCCAGACGUCGACGGAAACCGUGUGGCUAGAGUCCGGAAGAGGAGAGUGGAAUUUCUGGUGUAGCGGUGAAAUGCGCAGAUAUCAGGAAGAACACCAAUGGCGAAGGCAGCUCUCUGGGACGGUACUGACGCUGAGACGCGAAAGCGUGGGAGCGAACAGG
rnacentral:rRNA from 1 species